UCGGUCUCUAUCCGUGGCGGGCGCAGGAAAUUUGAGGGGAGCUGUCCCUAGUACGAGAGGACCGGGAUGGACAGACCUCUGGUGUACCAGUUGUUCCGCCAGGAGCACACGCUGGGUAGCUACGUCUGGUUCUGAUAAGUGCUGAAAGCAUCUAAGUACGAAGCAGACCUCAAGAUAAGAUUUCCCACAGCACAAGCUGGUAAGGCCCCCGGUAGACUACCGGGUUGAUAGGCUGCGAGUGUAAGCACGGUAACGUGUUGAGCUGAGCAGUACUAAUCGGCCGAGGGCUUGAUCAA
rnacentral:rRNA from 1 species